ACGGGGGGAGCAAGCGUUGUCCGGAAUUACUGGGCGUAAAGGGCGUGUAGGCGGUAUUGUAAGUCAGAUGUAAAAGGCUACGGCUUAACCGUAGAUUGUCAUUUGAAACUGCAGUACUUGAGUGCGAGAGAGGGUAGUGGAAUUCCCAGUGUAGCGGUGAAAUGCGUAGAUAUUGGGAAGAACACCAGUAGCGAAGGCGGCUACCUGGCUCGUAACUGACGCUAAUGCGCGAAAGCGUGGGGAGCGAACAGG
rnacentral:rRNA from 1 species